AUAGAUGUAGGACAUAUUAUAUAGUCCAGAAUUACAGAGUCAAGCCUUUUGAUUUGACCAAAAAGACCGAUUUACCCCUUCUAUUACCUCUCUCUAUCUCUUGCCAUAGUCUUCUCGAUCUCUCGCCUCCGCCAUUUUUACUUUAUGAUUCUCCAAUCUCUCGCCAACCGCCGUGACUGCUCAGAUAUCUCCGCCGGUGCACGUCUUGCUUAAGCUUUUUCCCAUUUCUAUUUCUCAUUCUCACUGCGUCGCUAACGAGUUACGGUUGACGAAAUCGAUCAUGGAUUAGCGUUAAGGUUGUUUAGCAGAGUUUGCUUUGUCCGUCGGAUUAUCAUGUCGAAAGAAUAUCGUCGCUACGACCUCCGUGUAUGCAAUUUCAGAUAUGUGAUUUCAAAAAAAUUUAAAUCGAUGCUCGUCCGCCGAAGAGAUUAUAUAAGUGUCGUAGCUUCUCUUUCAUAUGGCAAUCCUUACAAGUAUGAUCUAAUUAUUAGAUGAUAAGUGUGUACAGGUUCCCAAACUACCUCAUCUUUUGAUCUGUAAUGAAAGAAGGCCAACAUCAUUGGAUUGUGAAUUUGAAUGUUUUAGGUAGUGUGUUGUGAAUAGAUUCUGAUCAUGUAUGAGUCAUUUCUAGUUCAUGCUCCUUGUAAAAAUCUUUGAACUUUAAGAGAUGAUGUUUGUUUAUAUUCACUACUCAAUGGAGCUGAUGUUGGAAUUAUAGGUACUUCUUCUUAGUCAUGAAACUUAUACCUCCAUUGGCUUGUGUUUAACCUUCUCAUUGGGUUCUCUCGUCUUCUAGUACUUAGGGUUUAGAUUUCUUUCUUUAAAACGAUUUAAUGUGAUUCUCUUAGGUUGACACUUGUAACUGGCUUGAGGGUUUAGUUUCCUUUCUUCAGUACGUGAAUGUGAUUCCCUUGGGUUGGCAUUUGUAAUUGGCUUUAGUGUUUACUUUCACUAAUUCAUUCUGUUACAUUAUUCAAUAUUGUUGCAUUUUCCACUUGAAUAUGAUUUUGAUUGGUCUUUUUUUUUUAAAAAAAAAAAAAAAAAAAAAUAGGGUUUACGAUGUUCUAAUGAUACUUUUUGGUUUCUCUAAUUUGGAAAAAGUUGUUCAUAGGAUUUGUGCUUAGGAACUUGAACUGCGGAAUUGUGAACUUCUUCUGGGUUUCUUCUUUGUAUAUUGGUUUUACUGCGCAGGUUAUUGUUGUACAGGAUAUAAUAAGACCACCACGGAGAGAGAACUUCAAUGAUGUUUUCAUUGUUUAUGAGUUCAUUGACACUGAUCUCCACCAGGUUAUACGCUCUAACCAACCGUUAACUGAUGAUCAUUGUCGAGUAUGCUUCAUCCUUCAUGUUACCUCUUUUAUCUUGCCAGAUGAAUCUUAUGUUUAAAAGUUUACAAGUUUACUUGGUUCAGGAAGCUGGAGCAAUCCUUAUUCUGUUUGUGAUGUUAGUGCAUCUGAGGAUAUAAUAACAGUUGUAGUCAGUAUUGCUUGUUAUGUUUGUUCCUUUUCAUUGAUUUGUGUGUUUUUUGGAAGUUUGUGUUGUUGGUGUUUCGUAACUAGUUUCCACUUUUUUUGCUUGUAGCAAUCGAUAUUUGGUCUGUCGGUUGUAUACUCGGUGAAACAAUGACACGAGAGCCCUUGUUUCCUGGUAAAGAUUAUGUUCAUCAGCUUAGACUCAUCACUGAGCUUAUAGGAUCGCCUGAUGACUCAAGCUUGGGGUUCUUAAGGAGUGGCAACGCAAGAAGGUACGAUAAAAAGCUUCCACAGUACCCGAGACAGAACUUUGCUGCUAGAUAUCCAAACAUGUCAGCUGGUGCAGUCGAUUUGCUGGAAAAAAAAAAAAAACUACCUUUGAGCUGUGUUAUGCAGAUACACGACUUCUGUCCCAAAGUGCAUUGAGCUUGAUUUGAGCUGAUGAAGUAGUGAUGUCCUGGUUCUGUGAAGGUUACUACAUCGUGUCCUGUGUUGUAUACAGCUUUAGGAGAAGAGGAGUCGCAAAGAUCCUAUUCUAAAGCGUCGGAGACUAGGGUAACGUCAUUGAAGGUGACUGGAAUCAACAUUGGUAAAGCGCAGUUAAAGUUUCAUCCAUUAAGAGGCUGAAGAUUCCAUCCUCUAUUUGCACGGCAACCUCUUCGUGGUCCUCCUUCAUCCGCUUCUCCUUCCAGCCUCGUCUUUCAACUUGUCUAGCACAUGCUUGUCUCCUCUGCUCACAUGUUCCGCGUUCGAGCUCUGCUUCUCUCUUUCCCUGUAACCUGCAUCCUUUUGCCUCGCUCACCAAUUGGUCCUCAAAGUGUUGAGUUUCCUGGAACGAGUUUGUCCUUUGCAUCAAUUCAUCUCUGAAGUAGUCCAUUAUCAGACAGAGAUGCUCUUCGUGGAUCCAAAUUGCAUGUCUUUCUUUGACCCGGUUCCAUAGCUGUGCUGCCUUCUCUUCAAUCUCAUCUGCGUCUUCAUCUUCAGUCUCUCUCCAUCAACAGUAUCACAGUUCUCAUCAUCAUCAUCAUCAUAUUUGAUAUCUGUCACUUGUCCUCCUUCCAUGCAAGAUUCUUCGUCCAUUGAGGCCCAUUCGUUCAAAGUGAAAGGACUAAUGUUGGCCAAAGUCUCAAACCGUUGAAUCGUUUGCAUGAGCUUUUGUUUGGUUUCUGCAAAAAUCAUCACAUAGCGUAUGUUUCAGAAUUCUGAAGUCUUUGAAAAAUCUAAGAAGAAAACUUGCUUUGAACUUGGAGGAAAAUCUGAUUAUAUCACUCUGAGAUUAGCUUGAAGCUUCUUGAACUCUGCAACGCCUUCACCUCAGAGCUAGAUCGUCUCAAGUCUCAACCAUGGAAACCUAUUACUCACGUUUGAUUUUAGUAAGCUCGAGAUAAAAGGAACUCCAGUUAUCGUAUAUGGACAGUUGGAAUCAGCACAUGGUCUCCAAGAACCCGAGAAUCGAAAACUGCGGAGCUGUUUUGAGUAGGCUUGUUGAAUCGAUGGAUCAUCAUCAUCAUCAUAUAUCCAAGAAGGCUAAGAAGAAACACUCUGUGAAAGCUAAAACCCUCUUACGAGCUCUAUAUGGUGUAAAGGUCAAGACUUUAUAUGCUCGAGACGCAUUGUUCGAGAGCCUCUGGAAGAAAUAUGCAGAAGAGUUGGGAGUGACAUUGCCAAUGAUGAUUAGAAGUGUCAAGACUUUAUUUGUGAAUAGAAGAAACAUGUAAUUAUGGUGAUUUGACUGCUUUCCUUGAUGUUCGGUUAUAAGAAAUGCAAAUGCAAAAUGAGAUUUUAAAACGAAACAAAAGUGAUUCGACUAUUGAAUAUUGAUAACUCAACCUCCUUCUCUUUC